rnacentral:rRNA from 1 species
GAUGAACGCUAGCUACAGGCUUAACACAUGCAAGUCGAGGGGAAACGAUAGAGAAAGCUUGCUUUUUCUAGGCGUCGACCGGCGCACGGGUGAGUAACGCGUAUCCAACCUGCCCAUCACUUGGGGAUAACCUUGCGAAAGUAAGACUAAUACCCAAUGACGUCCAUAGAAGACAUCUGAAAGGGAUUAAAGAUUUAUCGGUGAUGGAUGGGGAUGCGUCUGAUUAGCUUGUUGGCGGGGUAACGGCCCACCAAGGCGACGAUCAGUAGGGGGUCUGAGAGGAAGGUCCCCCACAUUGGAACUGAGACACGGUCCAAACUCCUACGGGAGGCAGCAGUGAGGAAUAUUGGUCAAUGGGCGAGAGCCUGAACCAGCCAAGUAGCGUGCAGGAUGACGGCCCUAUGGGUUGUAAACUGCUUUUAUAAGGGAAUAAAGUGAGCCUCGUGAGGCUUCUUGCAUGUACCUUAUGAAUAGGGACCGGCUAAUUCCGUGCCAGCCGCCGCCGUAA